GGCAGGCAUGGGGGUGUACCUGUGGUCCCAGCUACUCAAGAGGCUGAAACAGGAGGACCACUUGAGACCAUGAGAACUGGACUGUACAUGCUGCUGAUAGGGUGUCUGUACUCAGUUCAGCAUCAGUGGUAACUGAUGCUCAGUUCAGGAGGGGUGAACCAGCCCAGGAUGGCCAUGGUGCAGGUCAGGAUUCCCCUGUCUACCCAUCAGGAGUGGGAUUGCACCUAUGACUAGCCACUGUACUCUGGCCUGGGCAACACAGCAAGGCCCUGUCUCU
rnacentral:SRP_RNA from 1 species